UACGUAGGGUGCGAGCGUGUCCGGAAUUAUUGGGCGUAAAGGGCUCGUAGGCGGUCUGUCACGUCGGGAGUGAAAACUCAGGGCUUAACCCUGAGCCUGCUUCCGAUACGGGCAGACUAGAGGUAUGCAGGGGAGAACGGAAUUCCUGGUGUAGCGGUGAAAUGCGGCAGAUAUCAGGAGGAACACCGGUGGCGAAGGCG
rnacentral:rRNA from 1 species